rnacentral:rRNA from 1 species
AUUGAACGCUGGCGGCAGGCCUAACACAUGCAAGUCGCACGAGUGGCGGACGGGUGAGUAAUGUCUGGGAAACUGCACGAUGGAGGGGGAUAACUACUGGAAACGGUAGCUAAUACCGCAUACCAUCCGGUUUGCCCAGAUGGGAUUAGCUGGUUGGUGGGGUAACGGCUCACCAAGGCGACGAUCCCUAGCUGGUCUGAGAGGAUGACCAGCCACACUGGAACUGAGACACGGUCCAGACUCCUACGGGAGGCAGCAGUGGGGAAUAUUGCACAAUGGGCGCAAGCCUGAUGCAGCCAUGCCGCGUGUAUGAAGAAGGCCUUCGGGUUGUAAAGUACUUUCAGCGAGGAGGCGUUACUCGCAGAAGAAGCACCGGCGAACUCCGUGCCAGCAGCCGCGGUAAUUC